CAAAAACAUUGUCUCAUGUAAUAUAUAUGAGGUAACUCCUGCCCAGUGACACUGUUCAACGGCCGCGGUAUCCUAACCGUGCAAAGGUAGCAUAAUCAUUUGCCUAUUAAUUAUAGGCUGGAAUGAACGGAUUAACGAAAUAUUACCUGUCUCAAUUAGCAACACAAAAAUUAUUCUCUAUCUGAAGAUAGAUAGAUAUGCUCGAAGGACAAGAAGACCCUAUAGAGCUUAAUUUUACCUGUAGACCAUCUAUAGUAAUAUUCGGUUGGGGCGACCCAGGGAUAUAAAUCACCCUAAACACCUAAGACACAUAAAUCAAAUAAAUGACCCUAAAUGAUCACCAAAUCAAGCUACCUUAGGGAUAACAGGCUAAUCCCACUCAAGAGUUCUUAUCAACAGUGGGGUUUGGCACCUCGAUGUUGGCUUAGGGAAUCUAUGUGGCGCAAAAGUUACAAUAAGAUGGUUUGUUCAACCAAUAAUACCCUACGUGAUCUGAUU
rnacentral:rRNA from 1 species